rnacentral:rRNA from 1 species
AGAUCAGGAAAGACUA